rnacentral:rRNA from 1 species
GACGGAGGGUGCUAGCGUUGUUCGGAAUGACUGGGCGUAAAGGGCGCGUAGGCGGCUCGUGAAGUCGGGUGUGAAGGCCCGGGGCUCAACCCCGGAACGGCAUCCGAUACUGGCGGGCUUGAGACCGGGAGAGGAGGGUGGAAUACCCAGUGUAGAGGUGAAAUUCGUAGAUAUUGGGUGGAACACCGGUGGCGAAAGCGGCUCUCUGGCCCGGAUCUGACGCUGAGGCGCGAAAGCGUGGGGAGCAAACAGG